UACAAAUAGCAUCUCCAACAAGGGGUUAAUAUCCAAAAUAUAUGUGUUUUUUAAAGACAUUUACAUAGUCUAUAAACUAGACCGUGUUUAGCAGUUGAACAUUGUGUGACUAUAAUAUUGUUCUGUUAGAAUGGACAAUGUCUCAAAGACUACUUGAAAUAUGUUUGAAUGGAAAUUCCUCAUCCACAUAAUCUUAAAAUCAUAAGUAAACGAGGACAGACAAAAGAAAUAAAUGUAAAGUGUAUUUAAAAAGUGACAUAAUUUACUGUGGAAACUAAAAUGUAGCAUAAAACAAUACCUCCCUAGUUAAAUUCCGGUAACUAUUCCAAGGUCCUUCACCAUUCGCUUAGAAAAUUCAGUUCUACAAUCACACUGCAUUAAAAUAUGACAAAAUCAAUUAAGUUGAACCAUAUGAAAUUGUUGCUAUUUGACUGUUUUUGACCUGCAGAAACAGCAAUUUCAUGAGUUACCUUAAUAUAUAUUUCUUUUCAUCAUAAACUCAUAGCCCAUUGAGGCUCUUUCAGGAAAACAGAUAUCCAUAUUUCCUUAGUUAUAUUUUUGGCACAGGCAGACAACCCUGGUAGGAGAGAUGGAUUCUGGAGUCAUGGUCUUUUGAGAUUGUCCACAAAUACAAACAGUUUCUGAUCUAAUGAUUUAAUUUGCAGCAUAAUUAUAUUAACCAGAGUGUUCUGUUCUUCUCAAUCUUUGUAAAAAUGAUUCUGCCAGUUCUGAAGAACAGAUUUGUAAUACUAACUGUAAAAAAUAGAUCAGAGUGGGAAAGAAUGAGUUACUGAGAGCAAAAAGAAAAUAAGGUGAUUGGUGAUGGUUUGGUUUAUUCAUUUCAUUCACAAAAUAUUGAUUGAGUGCCUACUAUGUCUUACAGUGUCUUCAUCUACGAAACAGGGAUGACCACUCUCUCAGGGUUGAUUUGAGGAUAAAAGAGUUAGAAUAUGGAAGGCACUUAGAACAGUGCCUGGCACAUAGUGACUUGUGACCUCCUGUCAUUCUGAUAGUGCAUGAUGAUGCACUGCCCAGCGAGAUGGUGUGUGUUCAUGUCAACUCUGGGUUGCAUUGAUCAGAAACCUCCAACUUCCAUUAAAAGAGAAGAAGCCAGAUGCACUGGAAAGGCAAGCUCUGGAAAUUGAAGAGAGGGAGAGAAGAGCACCUCAGCACGUAGGAAAGGCACCCGAGUUGGGGAAGUCAUCUAAAGGAGAAGUGGAGGUCGGAAAGGCCUCGUUCACAAUCGGCCUGGUGUCCCUGUCUGCAUCUUCCUCACCCUCAUGCCCAUCAGCUGAGAAUCUCAAGGCAAUCUGCCCGGGGAGCUGAGCCACAUAAAGGGCCAGUUUAAGGCACGAAAACAAAUGCUGGUAUGUACUAUUUGUUCAGGAAAUUCAGUUAUGCAAUAAAGUAAAAAAAUGAUAUCACACACCACCCGUAGGUAAACAGCCUCUGGAGCUAACUUUGUGCAUUUUUUGGACUUCUAUUACAUCAGUUUUGAAAACUGGUUUAGCAUACUAGGGGUAUAAAUCUACAUUAAGCAAAUUCAAUUUCAGCCAUCUGCAUUUGAACAAAAAGAAAUCGAAAUGAGUUGGCUUUUUUUCGCAUUUGUAAAAAUAAUACAUGUGUAUUGGGUAAAUACAGAAAAUAUAAGGAAGAAAAUUUAAAAAUCAACAUUAAUUCUAGCACCAAGAGAAAAACCCUAUUAAUAUUUAAAUAUUUAUCCUCAAGGUUUUUUUUCAAUUCAUAUGUUUAGAAAUACUUUUUAUUGUUAUCCUAUAUUAUAUGCAGGUUUUACACUUAAAAUUAUUUUAAAAGAUAAGACAUACAUCUGGCAUUAAAUUCAAAAGGCCAUACAAUGAAAAUAAGAAUCCAGCUACCAAAUUGCAUUUUCCAGAGUCAGCUAGGGAACAGUUUAUUUUAGACUAGAGGCCCAGUGCACGAAAUUCGUGCACUGGUAGGGUCCCUGGUGGCUGCCGGCUGCCACCUGCCAAACGGGUGGGUACUCCCUUCCUUUCCCGGCCAGCUCCGCCCCUGGUUUAACUCCGGGAAGAACUCCUUGUUGAGGGGACAAUUUGCAUACUACACUUUUAUUAUAUAGGAUUCUUCAGAGAGAGAGAGAGAGAGAGCACUGCCCUGAUGACACCUUGAUUUUGGACUUACUGCCUUCAGAACUGUGAGAGAGAGAAAAAUAUCUGUUGUUUUAAGUCUCCGAGUUUGUGGUACUUCCUUACAAUAGGCCUAGGACAUGAAAAACUCUCUUUAUAAUAUAUAAAAUACUCUUAUGGACUAUUAUCUGUUUCUUAGUUUUAUUGAUAUAUAUCUAUUAUUUAUUUUAUUACAUUUUUAAAAAUAUAUUUUAAUAUUCAGUACUUUUCCCUCAUUACUUAUCUUUUCUGAAUUUUCUUAGUAAUCUCACAAAUUCUUCUUUAUGUUUUAAUUUUAGAAUGAAUAUAAGUCCUAUUUUCUGUAAAACAUAAACCUAGUCAUUUUUAUAUAUACCAUGAUUUCUUAUCGACAACAAAAAUUCACAAUAUGAUUACUUUAAAUAACAAAAAUUCACAAUAUGAUUACUUUAAAUAAUAAAAGGUCCAUUCAUUUAAGUUAUGAUUUGAAUUUUUAAAGUUGAUUUGCAUUUAACAAUUUACAUUUAUUCCAGAAAAUUGCACCAAUGUGUGUUUUUAAAACAAUUGUAGAUCUUAAAGAAUUAUUAAAAGUUUGUAUUGCCGAAACCGGUUUGGCUCAGUGGAUAGAGCGUCGGUCUGUGGACUGAAAAGGUCCCAGGUUCGAUUCCAGUCAAGGGCAUGUACCUUGCUUGCGGGCACAUCCCCGGUAGGGGGUGUGCAGGAGGCAGCUGGUCGAUGUUUCUCUCUCAUUGAUGUUUCUAGUUCCCUAUCCCUCUUCCUCUCUGAAAAAAAUCAAUAAAAUAUAUUUUUAA